GUGUGUAUCCUCUUGGACCUAUAGUGGCUGAAUGUCCUUUUUGAGAUCCUGCAGCUGUUGACCCUGAGUGGGAGAAUGCCUUAUCCAGGUGUAGUCUUGUGCACACCUUUCCAGACCCAUAGCAGUGGUUUGGUUGCAGAGCUGUGAUUACAUGGACAUUCUCCACACUUGGUAUACAGCAGUUCAGACAUGCAGCCCCAUUGGAAUGUGCUGAUAGAGAUAUACUUUUAAUUAUUCGGCUUCAUUAUAUUAUGAUUGGAUUUGA